GAUCAUGCUCAGGACGAACGCUGGCGGCGUGCUUAACACAUGCAAGUCGAACGAAGAGCGAUGGAAGCUUGCUUCUAUCAAUCUUAGUGGCGAACGGGUGAGUAACGCGUAAUCAACCUGCCCUUCAGAGGGGGACAACAGUUGGAAACGACUGCUAAUACCGCAUACGAUCCAAUCUCGGCAUCGAGACUGGAUGAAAGUUGGCCUCUAUUUAUAAGCUAUCACUGAAGGG
rnacentral:rRNA from 1 species